rnacentral:rRNA from 1 species
UACGUAGGGUGCAAGCGUUGUCCGGAUUUAUUGGGCGUAAAGAGCGUGUAGGCGGUCAGGUAGGUCCGUUGUGAAAACUCGAGGCUUAACCUCGAGCUGUCGGCGGAAACCAUCUGGCUAGAGUCCGGAAGAGGAGAAUGGAAUUCCCGGUGUAGCGGUGAAAUGCGCAGAUAUCGGGAAGAACACCCGUGGCGAAGGCGGUUCUCUGGGACGGUACUGACGCUGAGACGCGAAAGCGUGGGGAGCGAACAGG